CUCUGUGUUGAGCAGUUGUAGAAUAUGUCUGUCACGAAUUUUAGACCCAGCGGUGCUAACGUGCCACCAUCGAUUUUGUGAAAAAUGCCUGUUUCAGUACUGGGAUGAUAGCGAUAAACCUGAAUUCAUUGUCUGCCCGCUUUGCAGGGCUAAUGUGUUUAAGGUUGAGUUUAUUAAGAAAGAUGACAUAUCAGCUACUGAAGAUUUUAGAAGGACUUUCAAUCCAUUGCCAAAAAUAAGUAAUACAAGACAAAAUGCAACAAAUGUGAUAUUCUAUGUGAAACUUGGUUUGUUGAUACUAAUACUGUAUUGUUUUUUCAAUUGGAUUCAUAUACCACUGAAUCUUUUAAUAUUGGUUUCACAUAUUCUUGUGAAAAUGGAAAAUAAAAUGUAAUAUUGUAUAGACUUUGCUAUCUGAAUAGUCUUUUAAAUUCAUUUAAAUACUGAACAAUAAAAAAUGUUUAGCAAUUUUUUAAA